UACGUAGGGUGCGAGCGUUGUCCGGAAUUAUUGGGCGUAAAGGGCUCGUAGGCGGUUUGUCGCGUCGGGAGUGAAAACCUUGGGCUUAACUCAGGGCUUGCUUUCGAUACGGGCAGACUAGAGGUAUGCAGGGGAGAACGGAAUUCCUGGUGUAGCGGUGAAAUGCACAGAUAUCAGGAGGAACACCGGUGGCGAAGGCGGUUCUCUGGGCAUGAUCUGACGCUGAGGAGCGAAAGUGUGGGGAGCGAACAGG
rnacentral:rRNA from 1 species